rnacentral:ncRNA from 15 species
UUUGUGGCUUAGAGGAAAAGCAUUUGCUUCGUAAGCAAGGGAUCACGAGUUCGAAUCUCGUCAA